GGCGGACGGGUGAGUAACGCGUGAGUAACCUGCCUUCAAGAGGGGGAUAACAUUCUGAAAAGAAUGCUAAUACCGUAUGACAUAUCGCAACGACUUGGUUCUGAUAUCAAAGAUUUUAUCGCUUGAAGAUGGACUCGCGUCCGAUUAGUUAGUUGGUGAGGUAACGGCUCACCAAGACCGCGAUCGGUAGCCGGACUGAGAGGUUGAACGGCCACAUUGGGACUGAGACACGGCCCAGACUCCUACGGGAGGCAGCCCUGAGGAAUAUUGGUCAAUGGACGUAAGUCUGAACCAGCCAAGUCGCGUGAGGGAAGACUGCCCUAUGGGUUGUAAACCUCUUUUAUAAGGGAAGAAUAAGUUCUACGUGUAGAAUGAUGCCUGUACCUUAUGAAUAAGCAUCGGCUAACUCCGUGCCAGCAGCCGCGGUAAUACGGAGGAUGCGAGCGUUAUCCGGAUUUAUUGGGUUUAAAGGGAGCGUAGAUGGGUUGUUAAGUCAGUUGUGAAAGUUUGCGGCUCAACCGUAAAAUUGCAAUUGAUACUGGCAGUCUUGAGUACAGUUGAGGUAGGCGGAAUUCGUGGUGUAGCGGUGAAAUGCUUAGAUAUCACGAAGAACUCCGAUUGCGAAGGCAGCUUACUAACCUGUAACUGACAUUGAUGCUCGAAAGUGUGGGUAUCAAACAGGAUUAGAUACCCUGGUAGUCCACACGGUAAACGAUGAAUACUCGCUGUAGGCGAUAUACAGUCUGCGGCCAAGCGAAAGCAUUAAAGUAUUCCACCUGGGGAGUACGCCGGCAACGGUGAAACUCAAAGGAAUUGACGGGGGCCCGCACAAGCGGAGGAACAUGUGGUUUAAUUCGAUGAUACGCGAGGAACCUUACCCGGGCUCAAACGCAGGGGGAAUAUAUAUGAAAGUAUAUAGCUAGCAAUAGUCACCCGCGAGGUGCUGCAUGGUUGUCGUCAGCUCGUGCCGUGAGGUGUCGGCUUAAGUGCCAUAACGAGCGCAACCCCUAUGGACAGUUACUAACGGGUGAAGCCGAGGACUCUGUCUAGACUGCCGGCGCAAGCCGCGAGGAAGGUGGGGAUGACGUCAAAUCAGCACGGCCCUUACGUCCGGGGCGACACACGUGUUACAAUGGCAGGUACAGAAGGCAGCCAGUCAGCAAUGACGCGCGAAUCCCGAAAACCUGUCUCAGUUCGGAUUGGAGUCUGCAACCCGACUCCAUGAAGCUGGAUUCGCUAGUAAUCGCGCAUCAGCCAUGGCGCGGUGAAUACGUUCCCGGGCCUUGCACAAACCGCCCGUCAAG
rnacentral:rRNA from 1 species